GACGAACGCUGGCGGCGUGCUUAACACAUGCAAGUCGAGCGACGCUCUUCCUUCGGGGAGAUGACGGAGCGGCGAACGGGUGAGUAACACGUGGGCAACCUGCCCCUAGCUCUGGGACAACACCGGGAAACCGGUGCUAAUACCGGAUACGACAUCGAGCGGCAUCUCUCGAUGUGGAAAGUUUUUUCGGCUAGGGAUGGGCCCGCGGCCUAUCAGCUUGUUGGUGGGGUAAUGGCCCACCAAGGCGACGACGGGUAGCCGGCCUGAGAGGGCGACCGGCCACACUGGGACUGAGACACGGCCCAGACGCCUACGGGAGGCAGCAGUGGGGAAUAUUGCGCAAUGGGCGAAAGCCUGACGCAGCGACGCCGCGUGAGGGAGGACGGCCUUCGGGUUGUAAACCUCUUUCAGCAGGGACGAAUUCAGACGGUACCUGCAGAAGAAGCACCGGCCAACUACGUG
rnacentral:rRNA from 1 species